rnacentral:rRNA from 1 species
UACAGAGGUCCCAAGCGUUAUUCGGAUUCACUGGGCGUAAAGGGUGCGCAGGCGGCCGUGUGUGUGAGGCGUGAAAGCCCGAUGCUUAACAUCGGAAUUGCACCUCAAACUACACGGCUAGAGCAUUGGAGAGGGUAGCGGAAUUCACGGUGUAGCAGUGAAAUGCGUAGAUAUCGUGAGGAACACCAGAGGCGAAGGCGGCUACCUGGACAAUUGCUGACGCUCAGGCACGAAAGCGUGGGGAGCAAAAGGG